ensembl:snRNA U6 U6 spliceosomal RNA
GUGCUCAUUUUGCCAGCACAUAUACUAAAACUGAAAAGAAACAAAAGAAUAGCAUGGCCUCUGUAUAAGGAUGACAUGCAAAUUCAUGAAAUGUUCUAUAUUUUU